GCCGAUGUCACUCGUGAUCGAGUCUCCUUCUCAUAUCAGGGUCAGCUUUGCAGGACUUUGGUGGCAACCCUUCAUUUUACUGAAAAUGCAGGGAGAUAACAAAAGCAGACAAAUCAAGAGAGACCACGGUUCAGAAUAUACUUUCCUUAGUGGAAAAGAGGAUGAUUCACAAUGAGAAAGUUAGCCACAUAUCCAACAUGUGAUAUGUGGAAAAUGAAAAAAAAAAAAC